rnacentral:rRNA from 1 species
CCAGACUGAGUGUCUCGAUCUUGUCUGAUCCUAGAAACUAAACGAGUCCAACCUGGGCUAGUACUUGGAUGGGAGACCACCUUGGAAUGUGAGGCACUAGUCAGGA